UCGCUGCCUACCCCCUUGCCAGGCCAGACUGUUCCUGCACUCAGGAAAGCCGCUUUUACUGAUGCGCUGACCCCCGGCACCCCCGCAGCCAAGGCCGGGGAGCCCUUUCAUCAUCAGCGGGUCGGUUUUGGAAGGCAGGAGCCAGCGGGCCUGGCCAGGGAGAGGGGAGAGGCAGCGCGCUGUGUGAGGGCGGCAGGGGCUGUUGCAGGCAAGCUGCAGUGACUCCUCCUAGAGGCGGUAUGUGGAGAAGAAGGAGCCCCCCCUCCGUCCCCCUCCAGAGCUGCCGCCGCCAUUGAAACAUACAAUACAAGAGAAAGCUAGCGGCAGGCGAGAGCAGCCCAGGGGAGUCAGCGGCAGCAGGAGCUUCCCGAGGCGGGGAAGGCGGCGGCGACCUCCGGGCAGUGGAACAGCUUCCACAGGAGAGACUGAGGGAGCCACACAUCAGAAUAUUUGAUUCAGACUUCUGUUCAAAUCCUUUCUGCCCCCGAGUCAGGUGGGAAUUGAAUCUGGGUCUCCCACAUUCCAGCUUUUGUGUAGGUGCAAGUAAAUAAAAACUUUCUGUCAGCAAAUUGAAAGGAAUAUAGCAGCAAGAUGUCUGCCCGAAGUGGGAAAAAGAAAAUGUCCAAAAUGUCACGCUCAAGCAGGGCAGGUGUUAUUUUCCCUGUGGGGAGGAUGAUGCGCUACUUGAGGAAAGGAACAUACAAGUACCGGAUAGGUGUUGGAGCGCCAGUCUACAUGGCAGCUGUCAUAGAAUACCUAGCAGCUGAAAUACUAGAGCUAGCAGGGAAUGCAGCAAGAGAUAACAAAAAGGGAAGAAUUGCCCCCAGACACAUCCUCCUGGCAGUUGCUAAUGAUGAGGAACUGAACCAGUUGCUAAAAGGAGUGACCAUUGCAAGUGGAGGGGUCCUGCCCAGAAUUCAACCAGAGCUUCUUGCCAAAAAACGAGGUGCCAAAGGAAAAUCUGAAACUAUCCUUUCCCCGUCUCCUGAAAAGAGAGGGAGGAAAUCCUUGGUGAGCAAGAAGAGUGGAAAGAAAGCAAAGGCUACCAAAGCCAGGGCACCCAAAAAGAGCAAGCAGAAGGAGAAUGAAAAAGAAGGGGCCUCAAAUUCAACAUCUGAGGAUGGACCUGGGGAUGGAUUCACCAUCCUGUCUUCUAAGAGCCUUGUUCCAGGACAGAAGCUUUCUCUGACACAAAGUGACGUCAGCCAUAUUGGCUCCAUGAAAGUAGAAGGCAUUGUUCACCCAACAACUGCUGAAAUAGACCUCAAGGAGGAAAUAGGCAAGGCCUUGGAAAAGGCUGGAGGGAAAGAAUUUUUAGAAACAGUAAAGGAGCUCCGCAAAUCACAAGGACCUUUGGAAGUUGCUGAAGCUGCCCUCAGCCAGUCCAGUGGACUAGCAGCAAAGUUUGUGAUCCAUUGUCACAUCCCACAGUGGGGUUCAGACAAAUGUGAAGAGCAACUUGAGGAGACUAUUAAAAACUGCUUAACAGCUGCAGAAGACAAGAAGUUGAAGUCUGUGGCUUUCCCCCCUCUCCCCAGUGGCAGAGCUGUGCUGCAAUCUUUAUUUAAAUGGACUUUGAGCACCCACCUCCACGCAUCAGAUCACUGCUUGGAAGUCAACAAGAAUGGAAUAUACAUGGACAAGCAUUCGAAGAAGAAAAGUUACUUACCUUUACAGGUAACUGGAGUUCAAGAUGUAUUAUUCAUAUGUAUAUUGCCUGACCCACCCUCCUUUCCCACUACUAUGGAGUCCUAUUGCACUGGGAUUCUGCAGUGGUGAAGGAACUCAGUGGCGAAGGAACUGAGUGACGGUUGGGCCCACACCAUCCUUUAUGUCCUCCGUAUGGGAGCAUAAGAACAUGCAGGGCACAGGCGCAGCCCCCACAGACACUGCUGGCCAAGACACCAAUCUCACCUGCAUAGGGAGCAUGCACACCAAGAGUGGAAUAUAUAUGGACAAACCAUCUCAAAUGAACUUCAGUUACUGAAAAAGAAACUGCUUCCCAAAACAGACUGCAGCCCAGGUGACUCUCAAAGCCAUUUCCACCCAUUUUGAUGACGCUAGUUCUUCCUCCUUGAAGAACAUUUACUUUCUGCUCUUUGACAGUGAGAGCAUCGGAAUCUACGUGCAAGAAAUGGCCAA